GGGAGAGGAGGGGAAAGGAGGGGGAGGGGAGGGGAAAGGAGGGGGAGGGGAGGGGAAAGGAGAGUGGAGAGGAGAGGGAAGAGGAGAGAGAAGAGAGGGAAAGGAAAGGAGAAGGAAAGAAAUUGCUAAUCAUGGUUGUCUCUAGAGAAUGCAACUAUUUUUACUGUAUAGGAGCAGUUAUUACUUUAGUCAUUAUAAUUCGUUACAAUUUUUUUAAAGAAAAAAGAAAUUUUGAAAAGUAAUGGCUGGUCCAAGUGAAGUGCAGUGAUGUUUAAAACUCAUUGAUCACAGUCAGUUACAGUUUUCUUUGUUUUUUUCUCCACUCACACUGCAUUACAUGACUAGCCUUCAGAAAAAUGUUUUUUAAUUUUUAAACAUUUCCAAAAGUAGAAUUGUCAAAGAGAAUGCAAGCUUUUCACAUAGUUAUAAGUUGAGACUACUCCUUAUCCUCUACUGUAAAAUGACUCUUUUUCAGUUGGCGUACUGAUAAUUUCAUAUAUAUAACUGAAUAUAGAAAAACAACAAAUGUGUGCUACUAAAUCAAUGUCACACUUUUUAUUUUAAUACAUACCUUUUUUUGAGGAUGCACCCAGGAAAAAAUACAAGUCACAGGACACCUGCAACCUGUGCUUUCCCCAAUGGCACUCAUAUAAUCUAAACCAAAUUAAAUAUUUUAAUAGAAAAUUAAUUUGUCAGAAAUAAAAUAUACCUAACUCCUCUUACCUGCCAUGGAUCCAGCCAUUAAUCUGUGCACAUGACCUGAAAUUCCCAGCUUCGUAGUAAUUAACUAGAAAACAAGAACACUGAAUUAAAUGAGAUAUUUUUUAAAUGCUGCCCAUUUCACUGUUUAAUAAUGAAGAUUUAUUUCAAGAGUUACAGGACUAAUAAAAAGGAAAUUAAUAAUAAAUGUGAACGAAAUGAGCACAAUUAAAUACAGCUUGGCAGUGUUAUAUCACAGCAGAAGGGGAUAUUUCCUCUGUAGUCUCUGCUUUAAUUUUUUGCAUUUCUGCAGAAGCAAGCUAGCUUAGUAUUGCUAAGUAUAUGAUACUGUGUAUUAAGGAACACAAGCCCUUAACAAGUGACUGGGGGUAGUAGGAAUAAACUGCUACUUUUUUUUUUUUUUUUUUUUUUUUUUGAGAUGAAGUCUCGCUCUGUGUCCCAGGCUGGAUUGCAGUGGCACGAUCUCGGCUCACUGCAACCUAGAUUCAAGCGAUUCUCCUGCCUCGGCCUCCCAAGUAGCUGGGACUACAGCCGUGUGCCAUUACGCCCGGCUAAUUUUUUAUUUUUUAGUAGAGACGGGGUUUCACCACAUUGGUCAGGCUGGUCUCGAACUCCUGACCUCAGGUGAUCCACCCACCUCGGCCUCUCAAAGUGCUGGGAUUAUAGGCUGAAGCCACCGCACCCAGCCUAAUUUUUUAUUUUAUUUUUUAAAUGCUCUAUAGACAAUGAAGUCCUGAUACACAAAUGGCAUCAAUUCUCUUUGGCUGACUAGCUUAGAAUGUUGUUCCGAUCUCUGCUGCUUGUGUUUUUUUUGUUUUUUUUUUUGAGACAGAGUCUGGCUCUGUCGCCCAGGCUGGAGUGCAGUGGUGCGAUCUCGGCUCACUGCAAGCUCCGCCUCCUGGGUUCACACCAUUCUCCUGCCUCAGCCUCCUGAGUAGCUGGGUUUCACCAUGUUAGCCAGGAUGGUCUCGAUCUCCUGAACUUGUGAUCCGCCCGCCUCGGCAUCCCAAAGUGCUGGGGAUUACAGGCAUGAGCCACCGCACCCGGCCUUGUUUUUUGUUUUUUGUUUUGAUUCGGAGUCUCACUCUGUCACCCAGGCUGGAGUGCAAUGGCACGAUCUUGGCUCACUGCAACCUCCGUAUCCCGGGUUCAAGCGAUUAUCCUGCCUCAGCCUCCUGAGUAGCUGGGAUUAUAGGCAUGCGCCACCACAUCCAGCUAAUUUUGUAUUUUUAGUAGAGAAGGGGUCUCUCCAUGUUGGUCAGGCUGGUCUCAAACUUCCGACCUCAGCUGAUACUCCCACCUCGGCCUCCCAAAGUGCUGUGAUUACAAGCAUGAGCCACUGUGCCCAGCCAGUUUCACUAUUUUGUUUAAUAAGAAAAUCCAAAGUCACAGUGUUCCUCUCCUACAAUUGAGUAACAAAAAGCACACUAAAGGCUGGGGCCCACAGAUAGCUUGGGCCCAGGAGUUCGAGACUAGCAUGGGCAACACAGUGAGACCCCAUCUCUACAAAAUAUUUUUUAAAAAAUCAGCCAGGCCUCUUCUCCACCUCUGAAAAAGAAAGAAAAAACAAAUUAGCCGGGGGUGGUGGCACAUGCCUCUAGUGCCAGUUACUCAGGAGGCUGAAGUGGGAGAAUUGCUUGAGUCCGUGAGGUUGAGGCUGCAGUAAGCCAGGACCACAUCACUGCACUCCAGCCUAGGUGACAGAGAAACUAUCUCAAAAAAGAAAGAAAAGAAAAGAAAAGAGGGAGGGAAGGAGGGAAGGGAAACACAUUAAAAAUAUAUUAAUAUUAUAUGGAUUUAUUAUUAUCUUCUUUAAAGAUAUUCUAGCUCUCAUUCAUUAGGAGUGAACAUAAAGAAUUUACUUGGCCGGGUGCAGUGGCUAUGCCUGUAAUCCCAAGAAUUUGGGAGGCCAAGGUGGGCAGAUCACCUGAAUCAGGAGUUCCAGACCAGCCUGACCAACAUGGUGAAACCCCGCCUCUACUAAAAAUACAAAAUUAGCCAGGAAUGGUGGUGCAUGCCUGUAAGAAUCUGGGAGGCAGAGAUUGCAGUGAGCCAAGAUCAUGUCAUUGCACUCCAGCCUAGGGAACAAAAGUGAAACUCCGUCUGAAAAAAUAAAUAAAUAAAGGCCGGGCACGGUGGCUCAAGCCUGUAAUCCCAGCAUUUUGGGAGACGGAGGCGGGUGGAUCACGCGGUCAGGAGUUCAGGACCAGCCUGGCCAAGAUGGUGAAACCCCAUCUCUACUAAAAAUACAAAAAUUAGCUGGGUGUGGUGGCGGGCGCCUGUAAUUCCAGCUACUCAGGAGGCUGAGGCAAAGAACUGCUUGAACCCAGGAGAUGGAGGUGGCAGUGAGCCAAGAGUGCACCACUGCACUCCAGCCUGGGCAACAGAGUGAGACUCCAUCUCAAAAAAUAAAAUUAAAUAAAUAAAUAAAUAAAUAACUCAUAAAUGACUAACAAUUCUGGAAUCGGUAAUUCCAAAGACAAGUUAUAUUUAAAAUCUUAAGCUGUCACAAGUCUUAUUCCUUUAAAAAGGCAUUGCUAUAUCAAAAGUAACUUUUUGGCCUGGUACCAUGGCUCAUGCCUGCAAUCCCAACACUUUGGGAGGCCAGGAGUUUGAGACAAGCCUGGCCAAAAUGGCAAAACGCUGUCUCUACUAAACAUACAAAAAUUAGCCAGGCAUGGUGGCAUAGGCCUGUAAUCCCAGCUACUCAGGAGGCUGAGGCAGGAGAAUCGCUUGAACCCAGGAGGCGAGGUUGCAGUGAGCCUUUCAAAAUCGUGCCACUGUACCCCAGCCUGGGCAGCGAGACUCUGUCUCAAAAAUUAAAAAAAAAAAACCAAUAAUUUAACUUUUUAAAAAUAUGAAACUUUUACAUAUUUUUAAAUGUCCAAAGCAAAUGCCUGGUCAAGCAUGCAUGAUAUUCAAGAACGCAAAAGAGAAAAGAUCAAAGUUUAACUACCGUUUUAUAAUGCUCAAAUGCCAUAAACUGG
rnacentral:lncRNA from 1 species